AUCACAUUCUUCUCUCACGGCCUCACCAUCACCAUCAACCAUAAUUAUUCAAACCCUAAAUCUUAUAAUUCCUACAUACAAUUGAUGAAUUAAGAUGAAGAGGAGCUAGGGUUCUUGAAUAUUGAGAGAGAUUGAAGAGAAAAGCUGGAAUUAGAGAAAGCCAAGGGAAAGAAUAGGAGCAAAGAUUUGGUAUAUAUUGUUUUUACAUCUUAUUAAUGUUUGAAAAUCACUUAAUGUAUUCAUUUUUCUCUUUGUGAUUGUGAAUUAAUUUCAAUAUUUAUUUUGAAAUAUAGUUACAUCAUUAACUUCUUCUAGGUUGAUAAUUUAAACAUUAAUUUGUAACUAAUAUUUUUUUUAGUUUUUAAUUCUAAUAAUGCAACAACUUCAUUUUGAACAGGAAGAGAAGAUCGAAGCAAGAAUAAUAAAAUGAAUGUUGAUACUUUUUUAGGGCUAGCAAGGUGAGCCUUUAAUUACACAUAUGUUAUAUAACUUGAUUUCAUGAUUUUAAAUUGCAAUAUUACAUUGUUUCAAAAAAAAAAAUUCAAUAUUACAACAGUUGUGGAAAUCUAUUAUAUAUGGUGGUUAUGAGUUUAUGACAUUAAUAUCCAUUAUAUAUUUGUACAAAAUAUUUACAUAUAACACAAGAUAUGAAAUGUUUGAUCUUCGUAUUUUGAAAUUUCCUAAGCUAGUAUGUUAUAAAUACUUAGUUUGUUUGGGAAUACUAGGGGUGGGCAUGGUUCAGUUUUGGAAGAAAAUCGAACCGAACCAAAUUAUUUUCAAAAAUUAUAGUAACUGAACCGAAUCGAACUGUCUGUCCUCUGAACUGAACGAACUGUUAUAGUUGUUCGGUUUUAUGGUUUUGAACCAGAUCAUAACUAAUUUUUCAGUAAAAAUAACUGAACCAUUAAACCAAAUCGAACCAAACUGAUAACCACGAACCGAACUGUUUCAGUUUAGUUUUAAAAUCGUUAGUUAUGGUUUAGUUUUUUUGGUUUAGUUCGGUUUAGUUUGGCGGUUCGGUUUGAUUUUUGGGUUUUUUUACCCACCCUAGAGAAUACUAGUAGUGAUGUUUCAUUUUAGUCUCCUUCAGUAAGUUCACUUAAGUAUUUAAUAAUAAUAUUAUGAUUCUUUGAAAUAUACUCAAUUUUAUGUUGUUCUUUUCUCUAUAUUUAAACUCAUUUUUAUUUUGUGAAGUGUGUAUAUUGUUAAAUCACUCUCGCUUUCAUAUGAAAAAUAUGGCAUUAUUUUAUUUAUUUCUGACUAAAAUAUGACAUUGAUGUUGUUCUAAAAUUUUAAUUAGGUUUUAUAUGUAUUAUAUAAAAUCAAGUUACAAAACACGUAAAAAUUUCAUAUAGGACUUCUAGAUUCCAUGUAUUACCAACGAAGCUGCAGAAAUAUUAAUAGAUGUUAUUGUGCUAAAUAUCUUAAUGGCUCUGAGUUGUCAUAUGAUAAUAGUUGUAGGUAAUAUUUUUUUUUAUUAUUUUAGCUUUAUGUUUGUUGUUCUUUCUUGUCAGAUGAUUAAACAUACAUUGAAUAAAUAAUUUAAAUUUCACGUGUAUUAAAUGAUAACAAGUGUGUUUGAUACGGUCAAAAAAAAACAAGUGUGUUUGAUGCUCAAUCUUCUUAAAAUUUAAUUUUAACUAACACCUAAUCAAUAAGUUAAAUUUUUAGUUUUUUUUUUUUUUUAUAUAAGCAGUUAAAUUUUUAGAUUGAUUGUGCCUCGAAAAUUGUAGUCGGAUGUGGGCCACAACGUGGAUGCUGACCUAAUUGUGGAAAUAGGAUGUUGUUAACAUGUGCAUAUAGGAUACAUGUUAAGGUAUCUUAAUAUAGAAAUUUACCCAAGCCUCUACACUUAUUUACCAUUAUUCUAUAUAAAUAUGUAAAUUAAUUAAAAUAUCAUUCUUUUGCACAGGUUUAUCAUACAACCAAGAGGUUUUUGGCUGUGAGAACAUCAAACUUAAUCCCAUCAGGUGCAGGGGUAAUAGAAUAUAAUGGUGUACUUAGUAGAGAUGAUAAAUUAGAAAAUUCUAUUGAAAAUGAAUGUUAGCACACAAUCAAUGCGUUACAUGGAAGAGAG
rnacentral:lncRNA from 1 species